rnacentral:tRNA from 1 species
GCCGGAAUAGCUCACUUGGUAGAGCACAGGAUUGAAAA